GGUUAAGCGACUAAGCGUACACGGUGGAUGCCCUGGCAGUCAGAGGCGAUGAAGGACGUGCUAAUCUGCGAUAAGCGUCGGUGAGGUGAUAUGAACCGUUAUAACCGGCGAUUUCCGAAUGGGGAAACCCAGUGUGUUUCGACACACUAUCAUUAACUGAAUCCAUAGGUUAAUGAGGCGAACCGGGGGAACUGAAACA
rnacentral:rRNA from 1 species